GUACAACCAAAUGUGACUACACUGGUCGAAUAUAUGGACUCUCACAUAGCCUGAGGUCAUUUUGUGUAGUGUGCAGUUGUGUGAGGGGAGGCGACCUCAAAUGUUAUCACAUAGAUUGCCCUAGAAAUGUGAAAGGCUUCGCAGACGAUGAGUAUGAAGAUCUAGUUGAAAGGAAUAAAAAAGUCCUCAGUGCUGUCGAAAAUAGCUAAUUUGGUUGAAAAUCUCUUCAUCUCAUCAACUGAAGUUGCGGCAGCAAUUUAAAUAAAUCAUAUUUAAGUUGAAA